CACGUAGGGCGCGAGCGUUGUCCGGAAUUAUUGGGCGUAAAGAGCUCUUAGGCGGCCUGUUGCGUCCGCUGUGAAAGCCCGGGGCUUAACCCCGGGUCGGCAGUGGAUACGGGCAGGCUAGAGGUAGGUAGGGGAGAAUGGAAUUCCCGGUGUAGCGGUGAAAUGCGCAGAUAUCGGGAGGAACACCGGUGGCGAAGGCGGUUCUCUGGGCCUUACCUGACGCUGAGGAGCGAAAGCGUGGGGAGCGAACAGG
rnacentral:rRNA from 1 species